rnacentral:tRNA from 1 species
AGGGGUAUAGUUUAAUGGUAAAACGAAGGUCUCCAAAACCUUUGAUGUGGGUUCGAUUCCUACUACCCCUGUCA